rnacentral:rRNA from 1 species
GAUGAACGCUGGCGGCGUGCCUAAUACAUGCAAGUCGAGCGAACGGACGAGAAGCUUGCUUCUCUGAUGUUAGCGGCGGACGGGUGAGUAACACGUGGAUAACCUACCUAUAAGACUGGGAUAACUUCGGGAAACCGGAUCUAAUACCGGAUAAUAUUUUGAACCGCAUGGUUCAAAAGUGAAAGACGGUCUUGCUGUCACUUAUAGAUGGAUCCGCGCUGCAUUAGCUAGUUGGUAAGGUAACGGCUUACCAAGGCAACGAUGCAUAGCCGACCUGAGAGGGUGAUCGGCCGCACUGGAACUGAGACACGGUCCAGACUCCUACGGGAGGCAGCAGUAGGGAAUCUUCCGCAAUGGGCGAAAGCCUGACGGAGCAACGCCGCGUGAGUGAUGAAGGUCUUCGGAUCGUAAAACUCUGUUACUAGGGAAGAACAUAUGUGUAAGUAACUGUGCACAUCUUGACGGUACCUAAUCAGAAAGCCACGGCUAACUACGUG